rnacentral:rRNA from 1 species
GACGAACGCUGGCGGCGUGCUUAACACAUGCAAGUCGAACGGAAAGGCCCUGCUUUUGUGGGGUGCUCGAGUGGCGAACGGGUGAGUAACACGUGAGUAACCUGCCCUUGACUUUGGGAUAACUUCAGGAAACUGGGGCUAAUACCGGAUAGGAGCUCCUGCUGCAUGGUGGGGGUUGGAAAGUUUCGGCGGUUGGGAAUGGACUCGCGGCUUAUCAGCUUGUUGGUGGGGCAGUGGCUUACCAAGGCUUUGACGGGUAGCCGGCCUGAGAGGGUGACCGGCCACAUUGGGACUGAGAUACGGCCCAGACUCCUACGGGAGGCAGCAGUGGGGAAUAUUGCACAAUGGGCGGAAGCCUGAUGCAGCAACGCCGCGUGCGGGAUGACGGCCUUCGGGUUGUAAACCGCUUUCGCCUGUGACGAAGCGUGAGUGACGGUAAUGGGUAAAGAAGCACCGGCUAACUACGUG